ACACGACAAUACUAAAACUUUCGCGAGAAAGUGACGGAAAGCCUAUUGGGUCUCACGAAGACAGCCGGGUCGCCGAA
rnacentral:ncRNA from 1 species